GAUGAACGCUGGCGGCGUGCCUAAUACAUGCAAGUCGAGCGAACAGAUGAGGAGCUUGCUCCUCUGACGUUAGCGGCGGACGGGUGAGUAACACGUGGAUAACCUACCUAUAAGACUGGGAUAACUUCGGGAAACCGGAGCUAAUACCGGAUAAUAUAUUGAACCGCAGGGUUCAAUAGUGAAAGACGGUUUUGCUGGCACUUAUAGAUGGAUCCGCGCCGCAUUAGCUAGUUGGUAAGGUAACGGCUUACCAAGGCUACGAUGCGUAGCCGACCUGAGAGGGUGAUCGGCCACACUGGAACUGAGACACGGUCCAGACUCCUACGGGAGGCAGCAGUAGGGAAUCUUCCGCAAUGGGCGCAAGCCUGACGGAGCAACGCCGCGUGAGUGAUGAAGGUCUUCGGAUCGUAAAGCUCUGUUAUUAGGGAAGAACAAAUGUGUACGUAACUAUGCACGUCUUGACGGUACCUAAUCAGAAAGCCACGGCUAACUACGUG
rnacentral:rRNA from 1 species